rnacentral:rRNA from 1 species
UCGAACGAGGUGCUUUUUGUAGCAAUACGAGGAGUAUCCUAGUGGCGAACGGGUGAGUAACGCGUGGGUGACCUACCCCAAAGCGUGGAAUAACAGUCCGAAAGGAUUGCUAAUGCCGCAUGUGGUCUGCGAGUUUAGAAAUCGUUGACUAAAGGAGCAAUUCGCUUUGGGAGGGACCUGCGUCCCAUCAGCUAGUUGGUGAGGUAACGGCUCACCAAGGCUACGACGGGUAGGGGACCUGAGAGGGUGGCCCCCACAAUGGAACUGAAACACGGUCCAUACACCUACGGGUGGCAGCAGUAGGGAAUAUUGCACAAUGGGCGAAAGCCUGAUGCAGCAACGCCGCGUGCGCGAUGAAGGUCUUCGGAUCGUAAAGCGCUUUUCUGAGAGAUGAGAAAGGACAGUAUCUCAGGAAUAAGUCUCGGCUAACUACGUGCCAGCAGCCGCGGUAAAACGUAGGAGGCGAGCGUUAUCCGGAUUCACUGGGCGUAAAGCGCGUGCAGGUGGUUCGGUAAGUUGGGCGUGAAAUCUCCCGGCUCAACUGGGAGAGGUCGUUCAAUACUACCGGACUUGAGAGCAGAAGAGGAAGAUGGAAUUCCCGGUGUAGUGGUGAAAUGCGUAGAUAUCGGGAGGAACACCAGUGGCGAAGGCGAUCUUCUGGUCUGUUUCUGACACUCAGACGCGACAGCUAGGGUAGUAAACGGGAUUAGAGACCCCGGUAAUCCUAGCCGUAAGCGAUGUGAACUUGGUGUUGGUGGGUUAAACUCCAUCAGUGCCGAAGCAAACGCGAUAAGUUCACCGCCUGGGGACUACGGCCGCAAGGUUAAAACUCAAAGGAAUUGACGGG